GACGAACGCUGGCGGCGUGCUUAACACAUGCAAGUCGAACGGAAAGGCGCUGAUUUUGUGGGGUGCUCGAGUGGGGAACGGGGGAGUGACACGUGAGUAAACUGCCCUUGACUUUGGGGUAAAUUCAGGGAACAGGGGCUAAUAUCGGAUAGGAGAUCCUGCAGCACGGUGUGGGUAGGAGAAUUUCGGUGGUGGGGGAUGGAAUCGCGGCUUAUCAGCUUGUUGGGGGGGUAGUGGAUUACCAAGGCUUUGACGGGUAGCCGGCCUGGGAGGGUGACCGGCCACAUUGGGACUGAGAGACGGCCCAGACUCCUACGGGAGGCAGCAGGGGGGAAUAUUGCACAAUGGGCGGAAGCCUGAUGCAGCAACGCCGCGUGCGGGAUGACGGCCUUCGGGUUGUAAACCGCUUUCGCCUGUGACGAAGCGUGAGUGACGGUAAUGGGUAAAGAAGCACCGGCUAACUACGUG
rnacentral:rRNA from 1 species